GUACAUUUAUUUUCCGUAAUAAAACUAUAGAAGUUUUUAUUGAUGAGGUUAUAAACUUCUAUUGCGGAUGUUCGUAUACGACAGUGUUAUGUAGAUUUUAAAUCAUGCUUUCGACCGGGAUUAAAGAUGCACUGGCUGUUACAGCUUCAAUUUGUACAGUUUUGCAAUUUUUAGCUGGCGUGCUGAUAUGCAGGAAGAUCAUUAAAAAUGGAACGACAGGAAAUAAUUCAGCUUUGGCAUUUAUAAUGUGUUAUACAUCGUGCAUUUUAUGGUUGAGAUACGGAUAUCUUUUGAACGGAAAUCGAGUGGAAUUUUCCAGACAUAUUAGAAAGUUCGAAGAGUUCCGGGUGAAAACAGUUGGCAGCACUGAUGCUUCGAGAGAGGAGAAAGAGGUGCGGUGUUGCGUGACUGAUUGCGAGACCGAGCGUGUGUGUUUGUUGUGUUGUACGAUUUUUAUUCUCCUUUUGGGAAGAAAAGUUCGUUUGGAAGACCGUACGCUUGGAAGAAAAAUGUCGUCGUAUAUUCAAGUUGCGGAAGACGAAGGCGACGAGCCGAUAGAAUUGCCAACGGAAGAUGAUAGUACACUUUUAUUGACUACCGUAACCGCCCAGUUUCCCGGAACGUGUGGCCUCAAAUAUCGCAACCCAGAAUCUCGGACGAUGCGCGGCAUUCGUCUCGUUGACGGACGUCUUCAUCCGCCUGAAAAUGGAUGGGGCAAGGCGAUUUACUUUUGUGUUUUUCCAAAAGAGAACAAACGUAAAUCUGAUGACAAUUUGGAAAAUUCCACAGCUAAGACUAAAAGAAUGGAAACAAAGUUGCGUUGCACAGACUUGAUCGUACUUGGUUUACCAUGGAAAACCACCGAGCAGAACUUGCGUGAAUAUUUCGAAACGUUUGGUGAAGUACUGAUGGCUCAGGUAAAAAAGGAUGCAAAAUCUGGACAAAGCAAAGGAUUUGGAUUUAUUAGAUUCGGAAGUUACGAAUCCCAGUUAAGAUGUCUUGCUCAGCGGCAUAUGAUAGAUGGAAGAUGGUGCGAUGUCAAAGUUCCCAACAGUAAGGAGGGAAUGAUUCAGCAAGUACCCUGCAAGGUAUUCGUGGGACGCUGUACAGAAGACCUAACUGCCGAUGAUCUACGCGACUAUUUCUCCAAAUAUGGCGAAGUGACGGACGUGUUCAUCCCAAAACCUUUCCGUGCAUUUUCAUUUGUUACUUUCUUAGAUCCCGAGGUAGCGCAGUCCCUAUGCGGCGAGGAUCACAUAAUAAAAGGAGUGUCGGUACACGUGUCGAACGCUGCACCGAAGUCCGAGGGCAACAAUAAGAAUUUCAAUAAUCAAGUGAAUUCGAACAUGCGUAGAGGCGCCCCAGGUCCCGUCGAGAAUAACGUGCAAGGAAACUAUCAGGGUAACAGAUACAUGGGCCACUCAGGUAACAAUAUGGGUCCAAACGGUUGGAACAAUCCAGGGAACCGGGGCAACUUGGACAUGCCUAACCUCCAAGCAUUGGGCAUUACUGGACAAAAUAAUGGCGGUGGUGGCGGCGGUGGUAUGUCGAAUCCUUUGGCGAUGGGAGGUCUGAACCUGUCCGCGUUACCAGUCAACCCUGCUUUGGUCGCAGCUGCAUUGAACCAAGCAUCUUGGGGUCUGAUCGGUAACUUGCAGAAUCAGGGAAACGAUCAGGGCUAUUCGAACCAGCCUGGCCCACCUGGUCAGCCACCUUCAGGCAACAAUAGUAUUGGUAACAGUGGAAACUCUGGCUUUCUCAGUUGGAUGAAUCAGGGAGGAGGUGAUGGUAAUACAGGCAAUCCUGGAACAGGUGGUCCAGGCCCGAAUAAUCCCAACGCAUCCCAAGGUGCUUGGCAGAACCAUCCAGGACAACGUGAUCAAAAGUCGAACACCUUUCUCAAGUACGAGUAAGCUGCAUGGAGAGGAGAGAGAGAGGGUCCGAGUGUAAUCGUGGAAUGCGGCGAAUCCGUUUCUUUGAUCCUGAUACACGUUAUCCAGUGGCGAGAGUCUAGGCAAGUGUGUAGUAGGUACAAAAUAAUUUUCCUUUUUGUAGAGGGAACCAAAACCUCUAUAUUAAAAUAGAUGGACGGGUUCGAAACUGUCUGUUUGUUUUUCUACGAUUAAUGAACAGAUUGAUUUUCUUUAAUUCGAUUUCAUGCGAUCACGUGAUGCAUAUAUAUAUAUAUAUACAUACAUACAUACAUACAUACAUAUAUACAUAUACAUGGUGUGCGUGCGGGUGUGUGUGCGCGCGCGCGUGUGCGUAUGUAUAUAUACACACCCAAAUACAUAUAUAUAUAUAUAUAUAUAUAAUUAUGAAUAUAUAAUGUAUGAAUAUAAGUAUAGAUAGUGUGCUCUAACGAGUAAUAAGAGUGUAAUGACAAAUAUUUUCCUUUCGUCUUUUGCACGUCACGCAAAAUGUAUUUCUGACUCUGUCUCUCAUAUUUCUUACCGCCUUCCUCAGAGACUAGCACAAGUUCUUCGUUGGCAACGAUAGAUGAAUGUGCGUGUUGUAAAAGACGGAUAGCUUCGAUCAUCUGAACUUGCGUUUUAACUGUAUGAUCUCAUUUCAAGCGUGCGGUCUAACCUACUCGGAGAUAAUUACUGUAUUGAAAAGAUAAUGAAGAUGCUGAUGAGAAUGAGAAUGAGGAUAAAGAUGAGGAUGAGAAUGGUAAUGAGAAUGAGGAUCAGGAUAAGAAUGAGGGUGAGGUUGAAGAUGAGGAUGAAGAUGGAUGAGGAUGAGGAUGAGGAUGAGGAUGAGGAUGAGGAUGAGAAUGAAGAUAAUAAUGAUAUAUGCAUAUAUACAUAUGAUACAUGAUGAUUGUGUAUGUGUCGUAGAAGACAAACAAGAUUUAUUGUAGCGAAGUUCGUACAUGUGCUUAUGUUUAUUUAAAGUUUCGUGCCGUGUAUUUAAUGUGUAAUUGAGAAUUAAUUGAGAACUUCGUAAGUACGCAGAUCGCGAAAUCUUUAGAUGGUGAGAAUUUAAACUUUUUCCGAUCACGGAACGUGGUAAUCCUAGCUUUAUUUUCUUAAUUACGUACCAAUAACGUGGUACACUGUUUCUUUUUACGGACUAAUGCUACCAGAGUACUUUUGUCAUGUUAAAUGAAUCGUUUACCAAAAGAGCUACUUCACUAUCGGUUAAUCUUGAGACCAAAAAGAAAAGAAUUAAUCGACAACAAUCAUUUCAUUUCCAAUCUAUGUUCAUUUAAUAAAUCUAUAUAAUGCAUAUUUUUAUUAAUAAUAUUUACCUAUGGGUGAAAUAUCAAAAAUAGUUGUUACAAGUUAAAAGUCGGAAUCUUUAUACCGAAACAUUUUUUUUUUCUUUUUCUUAAUUUUAUUUUAAUCAUUACUACAUACAAAAUUGUAAAUAUCAGAUAGUUCCAACUUAUUUCUUACAAGACCAAACGAAAUUUACAAAGACCGAUUCUAUAUUUAAUGCAACGUGUUUAUUAUAAGUGUGGUAUAUAGCGUGAGAAAUAAGAAUGUAUGGAAAAGCAUAAAUGUAAAAUCGCAGUUAUAUACAGAUUGAUCGCAGCUACCCGAGAUUUAAAAUACUUAUUAACGUUUAUGGAAAAUCUCGCCUUAAAGAAAAGGAAAAACGAAAAGAAACGUGUCUGCACGUGCACGCGAACGAGAUUUAUGUGAGAAAUGUGUUUUUCAUUGAGAACGGUGAGUGCGUAUACAAAUUCUAUUAACUGCUUGCACGUGGAAACUAGUAUCUCCGAUUUGUUUGAUUUUAAAGCGUUCAAAGCUUUUAGUAUACCUUUAAAAAAAUUAAGUUCUUACGUGUUAAGAAUCGAGUAUUUAUUUUCCAAAGAUCAUAAGAAAUAAUUUCAUUCACGUUGCACGAUUGUAGUCAAUAAUUCUUAUGUAGACGAAGUUGAAAAAAGAAAACAAAAUAAAUUACACACAAUCUAAGUACAGCAUUAACUGAACACUACAUUCAAAUUAAUUUAGGUAGAAUAUUUCAAGCUAACAGUUACGAGUACACGUUAUCGAUAAAUUAAGCAAUUUUCAUCAGAGAUACGUCUAUGUUAUUUCGCCUUGUCUCUAUAACAAUAUCGUGCUAUAUUUCCGACUUGAUAGGCCGGCAAUUUUACCAAACAUUCAAUGUUAAUUCAAUUUUGCAUCGAUAAUUUAGUCGAACAUAGUGUGCACGUGUACUCUUAGUUGUUAGAAUGAAUAAAGUUUAAGUAAACAUAGAUUUAUAAAUAUAUAUUCUGUGAGUUAGAGCUUUUCAAAAGUUCAGGAAAUGCGUGAACACUUACCUUGCUGACAUUACGAACACGAAGAUGUCUUCUUUACUAAUAAGUAUACGUAUGAUUUUGAUUAAUGUGACUCCGCAUGCAAUCUCAAGAGGCUCUAACUCGUUACAGAAACAGACACAGAGCCACACUUGCGUAAUGCUAUGUCAUACUUGCAAUUAGCAAUACACCGUAAUAUAAUUUGGCCAAAUAUUUAAGGAUUAUACAGUCUCUCAUGUUUUUAAGGCAUAUAAAACUCCUUGUAUUCAAAACUGAUCAUUAUUUUUCUUGUUCUCGUUUAAGAAAUAAGAAGAUUAUAUUAGAUUGGAUUGUUUUGACGUGUCUCUCUGUGUGUAUGACGGUCGAAUGUAUUUGUUAAUGGUCGUCUCAGAACUACAGGCAUGAAAGUUUAAUCGAGAUAUGAUCUGCUGUUUAAUGAUGAGAACCUCUAUACUACGUAUUUAAUGCAAAAGGAUAAAAGAAAACUACGUGUUGAUAUGAUGAGUGCAUAUAUAAUUAAUUGUGAGGUGAGCGAUAAUUAAUUGCGAAAAAAAUAAUAUUUUAUGAAUGGGACACAGUCGUUUAUUGAAUGCCUGAAUAUAUACUAUAAUAGAUAAAUAUAUAUAUAUAUAUAUAUAUACACAUAUGUAUACGUAUAUAAAUAUAUAUAUAUAUAUAUAUCUUUAUUGAUCCAAGAAUGUUUAUACAUAAUGUAAAGAGAACAUUGAUGGAAAGUGCGUCGAGUUUAUUUAUUGACGUCCUGCUGUAAAUGAUAAACCGAUAUACAGAGACUGUAGUUUAAGACAACUUUUAACAGACAUUAGAACCGUUUCUAGCUCAUUACUAUAACCGGCCGAUCUAUUUCAAAUCGUUCGCUAUUCACUGGAUUUAUUUAAUCUUUCGGAAAUGAAAUUCGUUUUAUUAUUGGUGCAAUUGAUAAUGUUUUUAAGAGAAUUGUUGCCAAACUGUUUGCAAGAAAACUUUUGCCAAUUUUCAAUCGGUUGAUAAUACCUGUUGCUCAAAAGAUGCCUUGCGAAACGAUUUGGAAAUGAUCUAUGAAUUGUGUAAAUAAUAAGUAAGGAGCAUUAAUGUCAUUCGUCAACGUAACGAAUUUUGUUGUAGACAGUUCUAUUGUAAAUUACAAUUGAGAUUGUGUUUCGAUUAAGACAUGGCAUGAUGACAACUGAUAACAUCAAUUUUUGUCACGUGAGAAUGUUAUUUUGAUAGAUGGCAGAGAUUGAUUCUUUAUUACAUAAGUUCAUUACAAGAUUAAAAACUGA